GUGAAUCUUCCUUUCUUCUUCCUUUGUCUGCUGCAUGAUAUUUUUAUUUCCAUUGACUCUGCCCUUGAAAAUGGUCAGUGAUGUCUCCAGGGUGUGCAGGCCUGCCACCACACCGAAAUCCAAAGGUCUGCUGAGACAUGACUGGGGGCUACCUCCCAGAACAAAGCCACACCAGAAGCAGGGAGUGAGGGCCUUCCCCAAGGAGGGCCAGAAGAGCUGCCAAGCUGGCACUUACAGCACUCGUUUCAUCCAGCCCUGGACGUGCAGCUACCUCUAGGAUGUAACAUAACAGCUGUCCUUUCGCCAUCCAACAAUAAUAAACAACGGGAAGCAGAACGGGCUUUCAAGACAGCUGAGUCUCCUGAGAGGAUCUAGCCCACCACAUUAUCACUGCUCCUCCUUUUCCCCAGCUGGAAACAAGUCUGGAAAUCAUGAGACCUGAAAUAAAAUAAAAUAAAAUAAAUUUAUGGUGUCAGAGCUUUAGUAUUAAUAGCAAAUAUUUAUUUGGUGGUGCUGUUGCCUUCUCUGGCAGGUGCUCCAGUGUAUGUCCCACUGCCCAUUUCACCACCUUGGGCUUCCUUCUGUGCUGUUGUAGAAGGACCAGUGGCACCUCUCUGCUCUGUUUCACCUUGUUUCUCCACAGACAUCUGCACCCAAGCCUUGACUUGUUCAGAGUCUGCUGAGCUGGUGAGAUUUAACAGGAUCUUGCCGCCCAAAGUGCUGUGGCUCGAGGCUAUAGAUUUAAGCAGAAGCAUUAAGCACCCUGCUCUUUAACUCAUUUCUAAUCCAUUUAUUUAAACUUCAGAGUGGUUUUAAAGCACAAGAAUCAAAGGCGAGAGUAAUUUAGAGUUUUCCAGAGCAGCUCUGUGAUCUGACCUCUGCACAUAUCCUGGCUGCCUUUAAAAGUGCACCAGCAUAAAAGCACAGU